CACUCUUACCAAUUUCAUCACCCACAUGAAAAUGCUUAUUAGAGCAGAAAACGAGAGGAAAGUUUUCUAUCCAUAUUGAGGUUCUAAAGGAAGGGGAGAGCACUAAAGAUUGAUAUUCCAGCAGGUGAUCUGAGUACAACCAUACUGGAGUUGAGAACUGUCUCUCCAUUCACUAAAUUUGAUUUUGGGUAUGAGGAAUGAAGAACUGUCAUUCCCUAAAUCCAAGCAGAGCAGAUCUACAGGACACCUGGUGGAACUGCAGGUUCAUGAACAAAGGGCUCAUAAAUAUACACUGAAAUGACUAGGGAGGGAUAGCUCUUCCAGUGUCCUUUCCCUCAGCUGUGGAUGCUGAUAGACUGCAGGGAACCGACCACAGAAAGCAGGCAGGGCACAAUGACAAGAACUUUCAUUUCUUUGAAUACUCGUGUCAUUUUGGGAUUCUCAUGCCUCCAGUUCUUCCUUGGUCAAAGUAUUCUUCAGGACAUCUCAAUCUAUUUCAACAGAAAAGCUUCUGCAAGACACAGCCUAUAGGUAUGUAAUCUUAGCUUGGGAAGUGUGUGAAUGUGUAAUUUGCAUACAGGACUUUUUAAAACUUUACAAUGUCAACCCUGAGAAAAAAAAGUCUCUGUUUUCUCCUGUUAUCUUUAUAAUACAUUUUAUUUUUAGCGAGCCCCUUCUCCCAUUUCUCAUCUAUAAAUGCUGAUGUAUGAGAAGACUGAUGGUUACAGUAUGUGGCCUUUUUUUUUUCCACUCCACAUUCGUUACAUGGACCAAGGUGCAUGAGCUCAUCAGGGGCUUUCUAAGUGUUAAAAAAGGAGGAGGAGGGAUUUUUCUUGCUUUUUUUUUUGCCUCGUGGAAGUUAAGUUGCUAGAACUAUCUUCAUUUUAAUAUGCUUUUCUCUGUAAUUAAUCUCCCUUAUAUUAACUCUGUCAGCCUGGCCUUUUCAAAGAGUAAUUUCACUCAAAGAGUAGUCUUUAGAGGAUUCUCUACUCCAAUUCUUUCACUAUGACAAGAAAUUUCU